rnacentral:rRNA from 1 species
GACGAACCGUCCAAACGUUAUUCGGAAUUAUUGGGCUUAAAGGGUGCGUAGGCUGUGCAGUAAGUUGGGUGUGAAAUCCCUCGGCUCAACCGAGGAACUGCGCCGAAUACUGCUGUGCUAGAGGAAGAUAGGGGUAAGCGGAACUGAUGGUGGAGCGGUGAAAUGCGUUGAUAUCAUCAGGAACACCCGUGGCGAAGGCGGCUCUCUGGGACGGUACUGACGCUGAGACGCGAAAGCGUGGGGAGCGAACAGG